rnacentral:rRNA from 1 species
AUGAACGCUGGCGGCGUGCCUAAUACAUGCAAGUCGAGCGAACAGACGAGGAGCUUGCUCCUCUGACGUUAGCGGCGGACGGGUGAGUAACACGUGGAUAACCUACCUAUAAGACUGGGAUAACUUCGGGAAACCGGAGCUAAUACCGGAUAAUAUAUUGAACCGCAUGGUUCAAUAGUGAAAGACGGUUUUGCUGUCACUUAUAGAUGGAUCCGCGCCGCAUUAGCUAGUUGGUAAGGUAACGGCUUACCAAGGCAACGAUGCGUAGCCGACCUGAGAGGGUGAUCGCCCACACUGGAACUGAGACACGGUCCAGACUCCUACGGGAGGCAGCAGUAGGGACUCUUCCGCAAUGGGCGAAAGCCUGACGGAGCACCGCCGCGUGAGUGAUGAAGGUCUUCGGAUCGUAAAACUCUGUUAUUAGGGAAGAACAAAUGUGUAAGUAACUAUGCACGUCUUGACGGUACCUAAUCAGAAAGCCCCGGCUAACUACGUG